rnacentral:rRNA from 1 species
AUUGAACGCUGGCGGCAGGCCUAACACAUGCAAGUCGAACGAGUGGCGGAGGGGUGAGUAAUGUCUGGGAAACUGCCCGAUGGAGGGGGAUAACUACUGGAAACGGUAGCUAAUACCGCAUCCCAUCGGAUGUGCCCCGAUGGGAUUAGCUAGUCGGUGGGGUAACGGCUCACCUAGGCGACGAUCCCUAGCUGGUCUGAGAGGCUUACCAGCCACACCGGACCUGAGACACGGGCCAGACUCCUACGGGAGGCAGCAGUGGGAAAUAUUUCACAAUGGGCGCAAGCCUGAUGCAGCCAUGCCGCGUGUAUGAAGAAGGCCUUCGGGUUUUAAAGUACUUUCAGCGAGGAGGCGUUACUCGCAGAAGAAGCACCGGCUAACUCCGUGCCAGCAGCCGCGGUAAUUC